AACGAACGCUGGCGACAUGCCUAACACAUGCAAGUCGAACGAGACCUUCGGGUCUAGUGGCGCACGGGUGCGUAACGCGUGGGAACCUGCCCUUAGGUUCGGAAUAACUCCCCGAAAGGGGUGCUAAUACCGGAUAAUGCCUUCGGACCAAAGAUUUAUCGCCCUUGGAUGGGCCCGCGUUGGAUUAGCUAGUUGGUAGGGUAAAAGCCUACCAAGGCGACGAUCCAUAGCUGGUCUGAGAGGAUGAUCAGCCACACUGGGACUGAGACACGGCCCAGACUCCUACGGGAGGCAGCAGUGGGGAAUAUUGGACAAUGGGCGAAAGCCUGAUCCAGCAAUGCCGCGUGAGUGAUGAAGGCCUUAGGGUUGUAAAGCUCUUUUACCCGGGAUGAUAAUGACAGUACCGGGAGAAUAAGCUCCGGCUAACUCCGUG
rnacentral:rRNA from 1 species